AGACCACCCAGAGUACAGUGCUUUACUGUGUGGAGAGUGGAGGAGUCUCCAAGCUGCCACGUGAGCUUCGGGUUUUGUUCUCAGUGUGGAGGGGCACAGCCUGGCCCUGCUUGUGUGCACCGACCAGCUAAUCCCCAGCCUGGGGUGUUUCAUGGCAGCUGGCAGCAGACACAAGACCCCUGCCCCUGAGGCCAGGGACUUGCAGGCACUUUGUACUCACUGUUCUACAGGUGGCCUGAGCUGUUCCCCUGUGUCCUCAGUCCCAGGGGUCUGGCAGAAGGCCGAGAUGGACGCCUGCCAUGCAGUGGCUGCAACAUGGGCCACUUGGGCCCCACCUGGGGACCCAUCUUGUGGUAAACAACAAGCAAGCGAAGUUUCUACUUGGAGGAGGCCUUGCCUUGUGUCUUAGGACCAGCUGCAGAGUGGCGGGCCCCUGAGCCCUGAAUGCCUCCAGCAAGACCUGCAAGGAUGGGAGAGGGAGGGUCUCCAACCACAGGCAGGCACUGGAAGUUCCACUGCGACACUUCUGUGCACAACCUUGGGCUGUGGGGUUGGACCAGCGGCCAUUGCUGAACUUCUCUUAGUCUCUUCAAUGGGCACAGUGCCUGCCUUCCAGGCAGUCCUUAAAGACGGGUGUGAUCACU
rnacentral:lncRNA from 1 species